rnacentral:rRNA from 1 species
GCAGGCCUAACACAUGCAAGUCGAACGGUAACAGGAAGAAGCUUGCUUCUUUGCUGACGAGUGGCGGACGGGUGAGUAAUGUCUGGGAAACUGCCUGAUGGAGGGGGAUAACUACUGGAAACGGUAGCUAAUACCGCAUAACGUCGCAAGACCAAAGAGGGGGACCUUCGGGCCUCUUGCCAUCGGAUGUGCCCAGAUGGGAUUAGCUAGUAGGUGGGGUAAAGGCUCACCUAGGCGACGAUCCCUAGCUGGUCUGAGAGGAUGACCAGCCACACUGGAACUGAGACACGGUCCAGACUCCUACGGGAGGCAGCAGUGGGGAAUAUUGCACAAUGGGCGCAAGCCUGAUGCAGCCAUGCCGCGUGUAUGAAGAAGGCCUUCGGGUUGUAAAGUACUUUCAGCGGGGAGGAAGGGAGUAAAGUUAAUACCUUUGCUCAUUGACGUUACCCGCAGAAGAAGCACCGGCUAACUCCGUGCCAGCAGCCGCGGUAAUACGGAGGGUGCAAGCGUUAAUCGGAAUUACUGGGCGUAAAGCGCACGCAGGCGGUUUGUUAAGUCAGAUGUGAAAUCCCCGGGCUCAACCUGGGAACUGCAUCUGAUACUGGCAAGCUUGAGUCUCGUAGAGGGGGGUAGAAUUCCAGGUGUAGCGGUGAAAUGCGUAGAGAUCUGGAGGAAUACCGGUGGCGAAGGCGGCCCCCUGGACGAACACUGACGCUCAAGUGCAAAAGCGUGGGGAGCAAACAGGAUUAGAUACCCCUGGUAGUCCACGCCGUAAACGAUGUCGACUUGGAGGUUGUGCCCUUGAGGCGUGGCUUCCGGAGCUAACGCGUUAAGUCGACCGCCUGGGGAGUACGGCCGCAAGGUUAAAACUCAAAUGAAUUGACGGGGGCCCGCACAAGCGGUGGAGCAUGUGGUUUAAUUCGAUGCAACGCGAAGAACCUUACCUGGUCUUGACAUCCACAGAACUUUCCAGAGAUGGAUUGGUGCCUUCGGGAACUGUGAGACAGGUGCUGCAUGGCUGUCGUCAGCUCGUGUUGUGAAAUGUUGGGUUAAGUCCCGCAACGAGCGCAACCCUUAUCCUUUGUUGCCAGCGGUCCGGCCGGGAACUCAAAGGAGACUGCCAGUGAUAAACUGGAGGAAGGUGGGGAUGACGUCAAGUCAUCAUGGCCCUUACGACCAGGGCUACACACGUGCUACAAUGGCGCAUACAAAGAGAAGCGACCUCGCGAGAGCAAGCGGACCUCAUAAAGUGCGUCGUAGUCCGGAUUGGAGUCUGCAACUCGACUCCAUGAAGUCGGAAUCGCUAGUAAUCGUGGAUCAGAAUGCCACGGUGAAUACGUUCCCGGGCCUUGUACACACCGCCCGUCACACCAUGGGAGUGGGUUGCAAAAGAAGUAGGUAGCUUAACCUUCGGGAGGGCGCUUACCACUUUGUGAUUCAUGACUGGGGUG